rnacentral:lncRNA from 1 species
GUGAGAUCCCCUAGACGCACACACUCCACCAUCCACACGCUGCGUGUCAGUUAAAGUUACGCACCCUUCUAAAGCGCUCUAUCCCUUGAAGGUCUUGGUCCACGUUGGCUGUCCGCAUUGCUGCUGCUGAUUAUUACACACCACCCCUAAACUGUGGCUGCAGGAACUUCAGAAACUGGAGACAGCCCAGGCUCCUCUCGCCUCCCAGAGUUCCCCAGAGGAGGGAGGCGGCUGCCUCCUCCGUCUCCUGGGGGCCAAGGCAGUCGCGGCGGGCAGGUGGCUGCCGGCCGGCUGUCCUCUGAGCCCAGGGUGCACAGGCCACGUCGGUGAGAGCAGGCUUGGAUCGGGUUGGGGGGGCUCUGUGAAAACCCCUGUAGACAGACAAAAUGGC